rnacentral:rRNA from 1 species
GUGGGGAAUAUUGGACAAUGGGGGCAACCCUGAUCCAGCAAUGCCGCGUGAGUGAUGAAGGCCUUAGGGUUGUAAAGCUCUUUUGGCAGGGACGAUGAUGACGGUACCUGCAGAAUAAGCCCCGGCUAACUUCGUGCCAGCAGCCGCGGUAAUACGAAGGGGGCUAGCGUUGUUCGGAAUUACUGGGCGUAAAGGGCGCGUAGGCGGCCUGCCAAGUCUGAUGUGAAAUCCCUGGGCUUAACCCGGGAAUGGCACCAGGGACUGGUAGGCUUGAGGACGGGAGAGGAUGGUGGAAUUCCCAGUGUAGAGGUGAAAUUCGUAGAUAUUGGGAAGAACACCGGUGGCGAAGGCGGCCAUCUGGUCCGUUUCUGACGCUGAGGCGCGAAAGCGUGGGGAGCAAACAGGAUUAGAUACCCCGGUAGUCC